rnacentral:rRNA from 1 species
UACGUAGGGGGCAAGCGUUGUCCGGAAUCAUUGGGCGUAAAGCGCGUGUAGGCGGCCCGGUAAGUCCGCUGUGAAAGUCAAAGGCUCAACCUUUGAAUGUCAGUGGAUACUGCCGGGCUAGAGUCCGGAAGAGGCGAGUGGAAUUCCUGGUGUAGCGGUGGAAUGCGCAGAUAUCAGGAGGAACACCAAUGGCGAAGGCAGCUCGCUGGGACGGUACUGACGCUGAGACGCGAAAGCGUGGGGAGCGAACAGG